GAGUUUGAUCCUGGCUCAGAAUGAACGCUGGCGGCGUGCCUAACACAUGCAAGUCGAACGAGAAAGUUCCUUCGGGAAUGAGUAGAGUGGCGCACGGGUGAGUAACGCGUGGGUAAUCUGCCCUUGGAUUUGGGAUAACUUCGCGAAAGCGGAGCUAAUACCGGAUAGUCUGGCUUUGUAAAAGGAGUCGGUAAAGGAUGCCUCUGCAUAUGCAUUCGUCCGAGGAUGAGCCCGCGUCUCAUUAGCUAGUUGGUAGGGUAACGGCCUACCAAGGCGACGAUGAGUAGCUGGUCUGAGAGGAUGAUCAGCCACACUGGGACUGAAACACGGCCCAGACUCCUGCGGGAGGCAGCAGUGGGGAAUAUUGCGCAAUGGGCGAAAGCCUGACGCAGCAACGCCGUGUGGGGGAUGAAGGUUUUCGGAUCGUAAACCUCUGUCAGAAGGGAAGAAGUGAUGCGGGUCCAAUAGGCCCGCAUUUGACGUACCUCAAAGAAGCACCG
rnacentral:rRNA from 1 species